GACUGAAAAAGGCAAAACCACCGAAAGGUGGCGACGCAAAGCCUCCGAUCUAAGGGUCACCAGCCUACGAUAGCGGGGUCGCCAGG
rnacentral:ncRNA from 1 species